rnacentral:rRNA from 1 species
ACGUAGGGUGCAAGCGUUAAUCGGAAUUACUGGGCGUAAAGCGUGCGCAGGCGGUUCGGAAAGAAGGAUGUGAAAUCCCAGGGCUCAACCUUGGAACUGCAUUCUUAACUACCGAACUAGAGUAUGUCAGAGGGGGGUGGAAUUCCGCGUGUAGCAGUGAAAUGCGUAGAGAUGCGGAGGAAGACCGAUGGCGAAGGCAGCUCACUGGGAUAGUACUGACGCUCAGGCGCGAAAGCGUGGGGAGCAAACAG